GCCAAGGAGUUUAACAUGUGUUCGAGUCACUGGGCGUUGCCAAACCUAAAGGUGUAGUGAAAGUAAAAAUUCGGUUUGUCUAGGCCACGGUGAGAUUCAAUUGUUUUGCUCAUAAAUCCCAAGAUGCCAGCAGCAGGUGCAUCAAUGGCCCUUCUCAUGGCAUAGACGCGUGGCCUUGCGCUAUAUGCACCGUCGGGGCAGAACAAGGGUGCAUGUGUUGAGAUCCGAAAGAUGGUGAACUGUGCUUGCGAAGGUAGAAAACAGAGGACAGUUUGGUGGGGGACCGUAGCAAUCCUGACGUGCAAAUCGAUUGUGUAACGUGAGUAUAAUGGCAAAAGGCUUAUCGAAGUACCUAGUAGCUGGUUCCCUCCAAAAUAUCCCUCAAGAUAACUGGCAUUCUGACGAAUGAACGGUUUUAUCCGAUAAAGGGAAUGAUCAGGGGCAUUAGAGAGAAAACUUCCUCAACCUACUCUGAAACCUUAAAUGAGUAAGAAAAUUAACUCGCCUAACUGCAGUUUUGCACUGAAUAUGAGUACCAAGUGGGCCAUUUUUAGUAAGCGGAACUAGCACUGUGGGAUGAACCAAACAUGCUGUUAAGGUGCCUAGAAUGACUCCCAUGAGAUACCACAAAAGGUUUUGGUUGGUCCAGACAGCAGGAUGGUGGUCACAGAAGUCGGAAACCGCUGAGAAAUGUGUAAUAACUCACCUUACAAAUCAACCGGUCUUGAAAAUGGAUGGCGCUCGAGCGCUGGACCUAUGCUGUACCAUUGCUGCAAGCUGGGCUUGGGAAGUGUAAGGGGAAACUGAACUGGUCCAGGCGCGGAGGAGUGGAGACGAGUAGGAGGGUCUCUGUGGCUACCGGGAAGCCUUAGGUGUAUGCCCAGGUAAAGCAGCCACAGACACAGAUCUUCGUGGUAGUAGAAAAUAUUCAGGUGAGGACCUUGAAGGACGAGUUGGAGAAGGGUUCUAUGGAAGUAGCGGUUGGUAAUGGAUCAAGCGGUCCUAGGCGACCCUAUAAGACAGAAGAGAGACGAAUUGCCUGACACCGUCCGCUUGCAGGCUUUGCUAGUAUUCCUACUACUAUACUGUUUCAACACAACCUUCUAUAGAGAGGCGGAAUCAGGUUAAUAUUCCAAACCCUGCCCACAGUGAUUGGCUGGAUCUUUGGUUCAGUGUAUGACCAGCGUGGUAAUGCAAGCGGGACUUCAGUGGGAGUUCUGGGAAGAGUUCUCUUUUCUUUGUUUGCAGUGCAUCCAUCCCCUCAAAUCGGCUUGUCAGGAGAUAGGGGUUUAGCCUCUAUAGAGCAUCACCCUUCUUGUAUUGUGUAAGACGCUCUUGUCAGAUCUUACAAAUCCGAGCCAGGCAGUAUCAUUUUCUUGGCAGGGCAUACACAUGUUUACAACAUGUCUGCAAGGUGAACAGCCUCAGGUA
rnacentral:ncRNA from 1 species